rnacentral:tRNA from 1 species
UCCCCUGUCGUAUAACUGGUAAUAGCAAAGAAAUAUAAGGACUGGAAUGCAGGUUCGAAUCCUGCCAGGGGAA